CAACAGCCCACACCUUAAUCUGCCUUGAAAUAACAGAGUAUAAACUAAAGAUAUUUUGUAGGUAACUCCAUAGAGGUGAGUCCUUGAGAAGCUCGGUCGAUCGACUGGCCAAAUGAUUUAUCACAGAUUCUGCAAGUUCAUAUCGGAGUUCACAACAUCCAGACUAGAACUCAGUAAUCUCCUCAACAUCCAUCAUAUAAGAUAUGAUAAUGCGAGAAAGGCGAAACAUGGGAACCCUGUGCUUCUACAAAUGAAGCAGAACUGGAAACCACUCUACCGUGAUGCUGGGUGUGAGUAG